CAGUGCUCUUUGCAUACCAAGCAGACCUUUCUGUGUCCUGGGAAAAAGUAUUUCUCCUGGUGUUCAUUGCUCUAAUUGCAUCCACAGCGAGGCCGUCCAAAUAUGUUUUCAGCCGCAUUUGCAUUAUGCAAAACCUUAAUCUCCCCAAGUUUCCUAAAACACCGUGAGUGAUUCACAGCCUCUCGAUGCCAGGAAAUGCACUGUUUGAUCUGCCAAUCCGUAUAAAUCAGAUUUAUUGGGAGGAAAGAAAGGAGGCUUGAUACUAUAAACUAUUGGGAAAUAAUCACCCAUGUGCACGUGUGCCCCAUAAAUUUGCUACUUUGGAGAAAAACGAGGCAGCUGACCCAGCACAUGUUGCUGAAUUUAUGUCCUCGGUGCAGUGAUCACAAUGUGGAGGUUGGUGGAGUUCUGUGUUGGGCAGAGUUCUGCGUCAUCUGAGUCUGGGUUGACUGGGCGGGUCAACUCCCACACUGCCCAAUCUGGGGACAAACUGGCUUGAAAGAGGCCAGGGAGGAGAGCAGAGUAGCAGGGUUGUGAGGGUUGUGGCCAGAGCCCAGCGUAAGGAAUGCCAGGACUGUUCUCUGUGUGCUUCAGGACGUCAUGCAGGAAUAUUUACUGUGUGUCCUCCAUGCUGGACACUGUGCCCUCAGGACCCAGCCUUCCAGUGAGCAGAAAGAAAACAGCAGACACAAAAGCAAGAUGAUUCGAGUUUUGACAAAGGCUACCAUGGUGAGAAGACCAGGGGACACACAGAGAGUGAUUAGCAAAAACGAGGCAGCAUCCAAGCUUGAGUUCCCCCAGACGAUGACUUCGAGCAUGGAGCCAAGGGGCAAGUCAUUUGUCUGGAAGGGGAUCCAGGCACUACUGGUAAGGGGUGGGGAAAUGAGACAGGAGAGGGAAAGCAGUCAGCACAGGGUGUUACCGAGCAAGCAAGAGCAAGCAGCAUAGGGUGCAGCGGGCUGAAUCCUCCUGGGGCGCUUCAGUGUAGAGCACACAGCUCAGAGUCAUCCCGCUGAGGAGCGAGGGACCUGGGAUAUUUUCCCACCAGCUACCUAGAGUCACUGACUGAGGGCCACUCCCGCAGGGUGAUGCGUCUUUGGCAUUUCUAGCCCACCCAAAAGGCAGAACAGCCUUCCGGCACUCUGGAGAAACAGCCUCAGGCGCAGAGAGGAAGGUGGAAAUCUGCAGAGCACACUGCAAGUUCCCGGCGUUAUGGGAAGGAACUAACAGCAACUGCCACAGGGACCCCCGUUAGAUCACGUGGGUGGGUGGGGGUGUCCGUGAUGCUUCACUGUAGGUGUCCCAUCAGCCGGGUGAAGCUGCCCAGUUGUUUGGUCACACUCCAACUAGAUGUUGCCGUGAAGUUCAUUUGUAGAUGUGAUUGACAUUUAAAUCAGUAACCUUUGAGACACGCAGAGUGCCCUCCACAGCGGAGGUGGGUGUCAUGCAAUCAUUUGAAGCCUUAAGACACAGGUCCCCAACCCCCAGGCCUGUGGACCAGGGUACUAGUCUGUGGCCUGAUAAGAACCAGGCCGCGCAGCAGGAGGUGAGUGGUGGGUGAGCAAACAUUACCACCUGAUCUCCACCUCCUGUCACAUUAGCGGCAGCAAUAGAUUCUCACAGGAGCACGAACCCUACCGUGAACUGCGCAUGCGAGGGAUCUAGGUUGCACGCUCCUUAUGAGACGCUAACGCCUGAUGAUCUGAGAUGGAACAGUUUCACCCUGAAACCAUCCACCUGACCUCCCCACAGUCUGUGGAAAAAUUGUCAUCCACAAAACUGGUCCCUGGUGCCAAAAGUUCUGGGGACCGCUGCCUUAAGAGAGAGUGCGGUCCCUCAAAGAGGACGGAAUUCUGAUUCCAGACUGUAACGUAGAGAUUCUGCCUGAGUUUCCACCCUUCCGACUCCAGGCUGCAACAUGAACUCUUGCUGGAAUUCCCAGCCUGCCUGUCUGCUUGCAGAUGUCAGACUUGCCAGCCCCCACAAUCCUAUGAGCGAAUUCCUGAAGUCUCUCUCUCUCUCCAUAUGGAUUCUGUUUCUCUGGAAAAUGCUGACUGACACGGCCUUCAUGUGGAGGUGACAGGUGAGCUAAUACCAGAAGGAUGAAAAGGGGUCAGAUAUAAGGUCUGGGAAGAAAGCAAUUCAGGCUGCACGGCCAGCAAGUGCAAAGGCCCUGAGGCGGGAAUGUGCUUAGUGCAAAGUGAACAGGGAGAAGUGUGUAGUGAGGGCAGGGACCAGAUCACAGAGCAUCAUGCAAGCCACAGUGGGGUUUGGAUUUGAUUCCAAGAGCAAUGAGAAGUCAUUGAAGAUUGUAGAUGAGAGAGUGGCAUCAUCUUAAUUGAACUUUAUCAUGCUCACUCUGGUGACUGAGAGGAGAAUGGAUCAUGGGGGCAGGCGCAGAGCAGGGAAACUCCACAGGAGCCUGUCUUAAUCAUCAGGACGAGAGAGGACGGUGGCUUGGACAGGGAGUAAUGGACAUGGUGCUGAGCAGUGGGUGGAGCUUGGAGGGCCUGCUGUCCACGGGCUGGGGUCCAGGGUCCAAGAGCUCUGGGGUGCAGGAUGCACAAAGCGCAGGCUUCCCCAUGUGAGCAGAAGUGAGGAGGAGGAGGAGGGGAACUGCAUGGUGCCAUGUGUGCAGCUAGGCAGGAAGGGCCCAGAGAAGAAGGAAGCUGUUUCUGCAGUCCCUACAGGGCCCUGGGAUCUGACCCACCUGUUAACUGGGAGGAGGAAGGCUAGGCUUUCUUUCAUGCUUUUUCUGGCUCAGACAUUCUGAGCCUCCACCAUCUGGUAGGGUCAGAGCCUCUGAGCCUCGCCAUCCAGACAGACCCAGAUGGAACAGAGGAGGUGCGUGGGCCAGGGCAGCACAGUGUUCUCAGUCCUUCUUUAUAGCCUCGACUCUGCAAACAGGACAGGGGGCUGGCUCUGCGCUGCGAGGACACAGACGUGGCAGCCCCUCACGCCCCCAUCCCCAACCUCAGCGCCACAGGGCCCCCUGAC
rnacentral:lncRNA from 1 species